CCUACGGGUGGCAGCAGUGGGGAAUAUUGGACAAUGGGCGAAAGCCUGAUCCAGCCAUGCCGCGUGUGUGAAGAGGGCCUUCGGGUUGUAAAGCACUUUCAGUGGGGAAGAAAGCCUUGGGGCUAAUACCCUCGAGGAAGGACAUCACCCACAGAAGAAGCACCGGCUAACUCCGUGCCAGCAGCCGCGGUAAUACGGAGGGUGCGAGCGUUAAUCGGAAUUACUGGGCGUAAAGCGCGCGUAGGCGGUCUGAUAAGCCGGUUGUGAAAGCCCCGGGCUCAACCUGGGAACGGCAUCCGGAACUGUCAGGCUAGAGUGCAGGAGAGGAAGGUAGAAUUCCCGGUGUAGCGGUGAAAUGCGUAGAGAUCGGGAGGAAUACCAGUGGCGAAGGCGGCCUUCUGGACUGACACUGACGCUGAGGUGCGAAAGCGUGGGUAGCAAACAGGAUUAGAUACCCUGUAGUC
rnacentral:rRNA from 1 species